rnacentral:lncRNA from 1 species
AAUUCAAAGAAGAAAAAGAAAGAGCUCACUACAAGGGAAGGCUGGGAAAAAGAUAAGAGAGUUGUCCUUAAAAAGAAGAAUUCACAAAUGCCUCUCUUAACUCAAGGAACUUUACGGACCAGAAAAACCAAUUUCCUUCUUAGCCCAACCAAGUUAUAAGCCAUGAAAAGCCCUUAUGAUGACAACCUGUUUUUGAGUAUGUUUGAUUAUGGGUAAAUGAAAGGCAAAACUAAUUUUUGUGACAUUGUAACAACAGAGAGAAACACCACACCAU